AUGAGCUUUCUCGCCGGGCGCCUCGCUGCACAGGAGGGUGCAUACUUCCAGGAGUCCAGGAACGCCGCCGGCCGCCUCGCGCAGAAGCUCCCCGCGUCCGAACAUGGGCCCAGGCCGGCACCCCCGGCUCCCUCGCCCGACGUGCUCCCAGAGAUCCUCCGCCACACCAUGCCUUUAAGGCCCACGCUGCCUCCGCCCAACUCAACCCUGUACGGUCCCACCCGCUGGGCCCUCCCAUCGGGCGGCGCCGAGGCUGCCGGCGUGUCCCCCGACGUGCUCAACCCGCUCCGGUCGUACGUCGCGCUGCCGCAGGCCACCUUCGGCCUCGGCCCCAAAAGAUGGGAACUUCCAACUGAUAGGCCUUACUAUUCAUCAUCAAGCACCAAUGAGCGGCGGCAUGAUAUGAAUCCUCCUGCCAUGGACCCUGAGAAGUUGAAGGCCGUAAUUGCUAGAUACUCACAGGUUGGAAAGGCGCUCCUUAGAAUUGCUGGGACUAUAUUGGUGAUUGGAGAAGCAACAGCUGAGCUGUUGUAUUCGGCGAAUAAGCUUCAGUUGCAUUCUGUCGACGAUGUCAGAGCUAAAGGAAAAGAACAUGCUGACAUGGUCAAAGUACAACUAGCUCCACUAAGGAAAUGGGCUGAAGACACAUCCCGGAAAUGGCAUUACAAAGGCAACAAAGAGUCCAAGGAGAAGCCUAUCCUUGAUAGAGAGCGUUCAAGAGUACUUAGUGCUAAUGCGCGUCUGAAUUGA
rnacentral:rRNA from 1 species